rnacentral:rRNA from 1 species
GUGGGGAAUCUUGCGCAAUGGGGGAAACCCUGACGCAGCGACGCCGCGUGGAGGAUGAAGGUCUUCGGGUUGUAAACUCCUUUUCUUGGGGAAAAUGAUGAUGGUACUCAAGGAAUAAGCCACGGCUAACUCUGUGCCAGCAGCCGCGGUAAGACAGAGGUGGCGAGCGUUGUUCGGAAUUACUGGGCUUAAAGGGCGAGUAGGCGGUAGGGCAAGUCUGAGGUGGAAUCCUAUGGCUUAACCAUAGAACUGCCUUAGAAACUGCUUUACUUGAGUCAGUGAGGGGAGGGCGGAAUUCCUGGUGUAGCGGUGAAAUGCGUAGAUAUCAGGAGGAAGGCCUGUGGCGAAAGCGGCCCUCUGGCACUGUACUGACGCUGAGGCGCGAAAGCGUGGGGAGCAAACAGGAUUAGAUACCCCAGUAGUCC